GACGAACGCUGGCGGCGUGCUUAACACAUGCAAGUCGAACGGAAAGGCCCUGCUUUUGUGGGGUGCUCGAGUGGCGAACGGGUGAGUAACACGUGAGUAACCUGCCCUUGACUUUGGGAUAACUUCAGGAAACUGGGGCUAAUACCGGAUAGGAGCUCCUGCUGCAUGGUGGGGGUUGGAAAGUUUCGGCGGUUGGGGAUGGACUCGCGGCUUAUCAGCUUGUUGGUGGGGUAGUGGCUUACCAAGGCUUUGACGGGUAGCCGGCCUGAGAGGGUGACCGGACACAUUGGGACUGGAAUACGGCCCAGACUCCUACGGGAGGCAGCAGUGGGGAAUAUUGCACAAUGGGCGGAAGCCUGAUGCAGCAACGCCGCGUGCGGGAUGACGGCCUUCGGGUUGUAAACCGCUUUCGCCUGUGACGAAGCGUGAGUGACGGUAAUGGGUAAAGAAGCACCGGCUAACUACGUG
rnacentral:rRNA from 1 species